AGUCAUCAUGGCCUUUAUGGAGUGGGCUACACACGUGCUACAAUGGUGGCUACAAUGGGCUGCAAAGUCGUGAGGCUAAGCUAAUCUCUUAAAAGCCAUCUCAGUUCGGAUUGUACUCUGCAACUCGAGUGCAUGAAGUUGGAAUCGCUAGUAAUCGUGGAUCAGCAUGCCACGGUGAAUACGUUCUCGGGUCUUGUACACACUGCCCGUCACGCCAUGGGAAUUGGUUUCACUCGAAGCU
rnacentral:rRNA from 1 species